ACCUGGUUGAUCCUGCCAGUAGUCAUAUGCUUGUCUCAAAGAUUAAGCCAUGCAUGUCUCAGUGCACGCCUUUAUACGGUGAAACCGCGAAUGGCUCAUUAAAUCAGCUAUGGUUUACUGGAUCGUACCCGUUAAAUGGAUAACUGUAAUAACUCUAGAGCUAAUACAUGCAACUAUGCCCUGACCCGCAAGGGAAUGGGUGCACUUAUUAGAUCAGAAGCCAACCGGGCGUCGGUCGCAAGGCCGGUGUCUGUUGUCGUUCUGGUGACUCUGGAUAAUUGUUACAGAUCGCAGUCGGCCAUGAGUCGGCGACGGGUCCUCCAAAUGUCUGCCCUAUCAACUUUCGAUGGUAGGUGAUCUGCCUACCAUGGUGAUAACGGGUAACGGGGAAUCAGGGUUCGAUUCCGGAGAGGGAGCCUGAGAAACGGCUACCACUUCCAAGGGAGGCAGCAGGCGCGCAAAUUACCCACUCCCAGCACGGGGAGGUGGUGACGAAAAAUACCGAUGCGGGACUCCCAAACGAGGCUCCGUAAUCGGAAUGAGUGAACUAUAAAUCCUUUCACGAGGAUCAAUUGGAGGGCAAGUCUGGUGCCAGCAGCCGCGGUAACUCCAGCUCCAAUAGCGUAUAUUAAAGUUGCUGCAGUUAAAAAGCUCGUAGUUGGAUCUCGGUAUCAUUGUUGCCUGCUAGUCUUAGGGGCGCUGACCUAUCGGUGCAUGGGUGAGCCUGUGUGCUAUAGCGUUGGCUGCCUCGGGUUGGUUUGGCGGCGGUGUCACCUUUCAGCCAUGUCUGUGGUGAAAUACCCGCAGGUGUAGGCGAGUGCCAGGCGGUGCCUUGCAACUGUAGGGUUCGUCGGCUUGUCUGCAUGCCUUUGGAUGCCCUUUAAAAGGUGUCUGUGGGCGGAUGGCACGUUUACUUUGAACAAAUUUGAGUGCUCAAACCAGGCCGACGUUGCCUGAAAAGUUUUGCAUGGAAUAAUGGAAUAGGACUUCGGUUCUAUUUCGUUGGUUUUCGGAUCCGAAGUAAUGAUCAAAAGAGACAGGCGGGGACGUUUGUAUGGUUGCGCUAGAGGUGAAAUUCUUGGACCGUAGCCAGACAAACUAAAGCGAAAGCAUUCGUCAAGCAUGUUUUCAUUGGCCAUGAGCGAAAGUCAGAGGCUCGAAGACGAUCAGAUACCGUCCUAGUUCUGACCAUAAACGAUGCCAACUGACGAUCCGUGGUGGUAGCAUUUAAACCUUCCUCACGGGCAGUCCCCGGGAAACCAUUAAGUCUAUGGGUUCCGGGGGAAGUAUGGUUGCAAAGCUGAAACUUAAAGGAAUUGACGGAAGGGCACCACCAGGAGUGGAGCCUGCGGCUUAAUUUGACUCAACACGGGAAAACUCACCCGGCCCGGACACUAUGAGGAUUGACAGAUUGACAGCUCUUUCUUGAUUUGGUGGUUGGUGGUGCAUGGCCGUUCUUAGUUGGUGGAGCGAUUUGUCUGGUUAAUUCCGAUAACGAACGAGACUCCAGCCUGCUAAUUAGUUCUCCUGUCCACUGUUCCUGUGUAGGCAGGCGUUUGACGAGUCUGCCCUUCUAGGCUGCCCUGUUGGUGGUGUUAGGUGCGUUUGAGUGCUGGCCGCAAGGCUGGCGUUUGGCGUACUUAAUGCAAUGCUGACUCGUGUGGCUUGGGUGGAUGGUUCGGCGUUUGCUUCCGGGUACGGCGCGGGUGUCUACUUCUUAGAGGGACAAGCGGGAGAAGCCGCACGAAAUUGAGCAAUAACAGGUCUGUGAUGCCCUUAGAUGUCCGGGGCCGCACGCGCGCUACAAUGACGGUGGCAACGAGUCUGACCUUCUGGCCCGAAAGGGUUGGGCAAACUGGUCAAUCACCGUCAUGACAGGGAUCGGGGCUUGGAAUUGUUCCCCGUGAACGAGGAAUUCCUAGUAAGUGCAAGUCAUAAGCUUGCGCUGAUUACGUCCCUGCCCUUUGUACACACCGCCCGUCGCUACUACCGAUUGAAUGGUUUAGUAAGGUCCUUGGAUUGGCGCCAUUGAAGCCGAAAGGCUCAGGCGGUGCUGAGAAGACGACCGAACUUGAUCAUUUAGAGGAAGUAAAAGUCGUAACAAGGUUUCCGUAGGUGAACCAGCGGAAG
rnacentral:rRNA from 1 species